rnacentral:rRNA from 1 species
AGCGUAGGCGGGACCGUAAGUUAGGAGUUUAAUACCCAGGCUUAACCUGGGACCUGCUUCUAAUACUGCGGUUCUUGAGUAAGGAAGAGGGAGAUGGAAUUCCAGGUGUAGCGGUGGAAUGCGUAGAUAUCUGGAAGAACACCAGCAGCGAAGGCGGUCUCCUGGUCCUAUACUGACGCUGAGGCUCGAAAGUUAGGGGAGCAAACAGGAUUAGAUACCCUGGUAGUCCUAACCGUAAACUAUGGAUACUAGAUGUUGGGGGAGUCAAUCUUUCCAGCGUCGUCGCUAACGCAAUAAGUAUCCCGCUGGGAAGUACGCCCGCAAGGGUGAA